rnacentral:rRNA from 1 species
GACGAACGCUGGCGUCGUGCUUAACACAUGCAAGUCGAACGGAAAGGCCCUGCUUUUGUGGGGUGCUCGAGUGGCGAACGGGUGAGUAACACGUGAGUAACCUGCCCUUGACUUUGGGAUAACUUCAGGAAACUGGGGCUAAUACCGGAUAGGAGCUCCUGCUGCAUGGUGGGGGUUGGAAAGUUUCGGCGGUUGGGGAUGGACUCGCGGCUUAUCAGCUUGUUGGUGGGGUAGUGGCUUACCAAGGCUUUGACGGGUAGCCGGCCUGAGAGGGUGACCGGCCACAUUGGGACUGAGAUACGGCCCAGACUCCUACGGGAGGCAGCAGUGGGGAAUAUUGCACAAUGGGCGGAAGCCUGAUGCAGCAACGCCGCGUGCGGGAUGACGGCCUUCGGGUUGUAAACCGCUUUCGCCUGUGACGAAGCGUGAGUGACGGUAAUGGGUAAAGAAGCACCGGCUAACUACGUGCCAGCAGCCGCGGUGAUACGUAGGGUGCGAGCGUUGUCCGGAUUUAUUGGGCGUAAAGGGCUCGUAGGUGGUUGAUCGCGUCGGAAGUGUAAUCUUGGGGCUUAACCCUGAGCGUGCUUUCGAUACGGGUUGACUUGAGGAAGGUAGGGGAGAAUGGAGUUCCUGGUGGAGCGGUGGAAUGCGCAGAUAUCAGGAGGAACACCAGUGGCGAAGGCGGUUCUCUGGGCCUUUCCUGACGCUGAGGAGCGAAAGCGUGGGGAGCGAACAGGCUUAGAUACCCUGGUAGUCCACGCUGUAAACGGUGGGUACUAGGUGUGGGGUCCAUUCCACGGGUUCCGUGCCGUAGCUAACGCUUUAAGUACCCCGCCUGGGGAGUACGGCCGCAAGGCUAAAACUCAAAGGAAUUGACGGGGCCCCGCACAAGCGGCGGAGCAUGCGGAUUAAUUCGAUGCAACGCGUAGAACCUUACCUGGGUUUGACAUGGAUCGGGAGCGCUCAGAGAUGGGUGUGCCUCUUUUGGGGUCGGUUCACAGGUGGUGCAUGGCUGUCGUCAGCUCGUGUCGUGAGAUGUUGGGUUAAGUCCCGCAACGAGCGCAACCCUUGUUCACUGUUGCCAGCACGUUAUGGUGGGGACUCAGUGGAGACCGCCGGGGUCAACUCGGAGGAAGGUGGGGAUGACGUCAAGUCAUCAUGCCCCUUAUGUCCAGGGCUUCACGCAUGCUACAAUGGCUGGUACAGAGAGUGGCGAGCCUGUGAGGGUGAGCGAAUCUCGGAAAGCCGGUCUCAGUUCGGAUUGGGGUCUGCAACUCGACCUCAUGAAGUCGGAGUCGCUAGUAAUCGCAGAUCAGCAACGCUGCGGUGAAUACGUUCCCGGGGCU